rnacentral:rRNA from 1 species
ACGGAAGGCAGCAGUGGGGAAUAUUGGGCAAUGGGCGCAAGCCUGACCCAGCGACGCCGCGUGAGUGAUGAAGUAUUUCGGUAUGUAAAGCUCUAUCAGCAAGGAAGAUAAUGACGGUACUUGACUAAGAAGCCCCGGCUAACUACGUGCCAGCAGCCGCGGUAAUACGUAGGGGGCAAGCGUUAUCCGGAUUUACUGGGUGUAAAGGGAGCGUAGAUGGUAUGGCAAGUCUGAUGUGAAAGGCUGGGGCUCAACCCCGGAACUGCAUUGGAAACUGUCAAACUAGAGUGCAGGAGAGGUAAGUGGAAUUCCUAGUGUAGCGGUGAAAUGCGUAGAUAUUAGGAAGAACACCAGUGGCGAAGGCGGCUUACUGGACUGUAACUGACAUUGAGGCUCGAAAGCGUGGGGAGCAAACAGGAUUAGAUACCCUGGUA